UUGUAAACCAAUAAUGAAUUAUUUUCUAAAAACUUU
rnacentral:tRNA from 1 species